ACGCUCGACACCUACGGGAAGGCAGCAGUGGGGAAUAUUGCACAAUGGGGGGAACCCUGAUGCAGCGACGCCGCGUGAGUGAAGAAGUACUUCGGUAUGUAAAGCUCUAUCAGCAGGGAAGAAAAUGACGGUACCUGACUAAGAAGCCCCGGCUAACUACGUGCCAGCAGCCGCGGUAAUCUGAGCGGGCUGGCAAGGC
rnacentral:rRNA from 1 species